UACGUAGGGUGCAAGCGUUAUCCGGAAUUAUUGGGCGUAAAGAGCUCGUAGGCGGUUUGUCGCGUCUGCUGUGAAAACCCGAGGCUCAACCUCGGGCCUGCAGUGGGUACGGGCAGACUAGAGUGCGGUAGGGGAGAUUGGAAUUCCUGGUGUAGCGGUGGAAUGCGCAGAUAUCAGGAGGAACACCGAUGGCGAAGGCAGAUCUCUGGGUCGUAACUGACGCUGAGGAGCGAAAGCGUGGGGAGCAAACAGG
rnacentral:rRNA from 1 species